rnacentral:rRNA from 1 species
GAUGAACGCUGGCGGCGUGCUUAACACAUGCAAGUCGAACGUGAGGGUGCAGCGAUGUGCCUGAAAGUGGCGAACGGGUGAGUAACACGUAGAUGACCUGCCCUGGAGUGGGGGAUAACCAUUGGAAACGGUGGCUAAUACCGCAUACAUCCGGAGAACUGGGAAGUUUUCUGGGGUAAAGCUCUGGUGCUUCAGGAGGGUCUGCGUCCGAUUAGCUAGUUGGUGGGGUAAAGGCUCACCAAGGCGACGAUCGGUAGCUGGUCUGAGAGGACGAUCAGCCACACGGGAACUGAGACACGGUCCCGACUCCUACGGGGGGCAGCAGUGAGGAAUAUUGGGCAAUGGGCGAAGCCUGACCCAGCAACGCCGCGUGGAGGAAGACGGCCUU